rnacentral:rRNA from 1 species
UACGAAGGGGACUAGCGUUGUUCGGAAUCACUGGGCGUAAAGCGCACGUAGGCGGAUUUGUAAGUCAGGGGUGAAAUCCCGGGGCUCAACCUCGGAACUGCCUUUGAUACUGCGAAUCUCGAGUCCGAUAGAGGUGGGUGGAAUUCCUAGUGUAGAGGUGAAAAUUCGUAGAUAUUAGGAAGAACACCGGUGGCGAAGGCGGCCCACUGGAUCGGUACUGACGCUGAGGUGCGAAAGCGUGGGGAGCAAACAGG